rnacentral:rRNA from 1 species
AGGAUGAACGCUGGCGGCGUGCUUAACACAUGCAAGUCGAACGAUGAAGCCGGAGCUUGCUCUGGUGGAUUAGUGGCGAACGGGUGAGUAACACGUGAGUAACCUGCCCUUGACUCUGGGAUAAGCACUGGAAACGGUGUCUAAUACCGGAUACGAGCUUUAGCCGCAUGGCUAGGAGCUGGAAAGAAUUUCGGCAAGGAUGACUCGCGGACUAUCAGGUAGUUGGUGAGGUAACGCCACAAGCCUAGACGGUAGCCGCUGGAGAGGGUGACCGGACACGACGUGGACUGAGACACGCCCAGACCUCGACGGGAGCAGCAGGUGGGAAUCGUAGCUAACGAAUGGGACGACAAGCCCUG